UGCCGAUGCUUGUUUGCAUAUGACGUCACGUCACUGCGUUGCCAUGGCGCGAAAUGCAGAUGGAGAGCAGGAAGUGAUUUGCUACAUUUAGGAAGCACCAUAACAAACUGAGAAUGUCUGUUUGCGCCGUUUAUGGUUGGUUAAAUCGAUUAAACCGUGAAACCACGAGGAGUUUUGAUCGUUGUUGUUCAUAAAGGGGAAAAAUGCAAACCUACAAAAAUCUGGAGGAGCUGAAUCUGAAAAUGUGUGCAGUGAUCACUUCUUCAAAGGUGCUGUGCUGAAGUUUGUCAGCAGAUGCUGGAUCAUCAGCCAGUACAGAGUGCAGACCUUUGGAGCAGGUCCCACAGACCCAGGGCUAUAUUACUGAAGGCCUGCAAGAAAAAAAAAUGCCUGGGUGUCUGAGGUUUGUGCACCCCGUUGCCAGAGACAUCCAAUACAUGUCUUACAGAUAAAGGACCUGUAUGAUGUUGUUCUUCAAGGUGAUGCAGGACAAGAGGAUGAACCCUCUUCAGUACCAGUCGAACCCCCAACUGGACCACGAAUGGCCCAACCAGAUCCCCAGGUAGAAGUGGCCUUACUUCAUCCCCCAGCAGCUCCAACUGGACCACCAAUGGUGACCCCAGAUCCCCAGGUAGCAACAUCCCUGCAAGAUCCCCCAACACACUCAGCUGGAGCACUGAAGGCCCUGUCUGGACCCCCAGCAGCCCUUAUUGGACCACCGAAGUCCCCAAACGCAUUGGCAGGAAGGCAUAAUGUGAAAAUGUUAAAAAGAUUCAGACUCUGGGCAUCCCUGCUUUCAAAAGAAAUGGGUAUAAAAAAACUAGAUAUAAUUUAAGCAGUUAUUUGAUUAGUACCUCUCGUCAAAUUCCAUAAACUGCUCCAUUUAGCUGUUAUCAUCACUUAAAUGACGCCUGUGUUUGCCCAUAUUUAGGAUUAGGCCUGUGCGAAAUGACUGCAUUUUAUUGGACGAUACAGAAAUGUCUAUUGUUUUAAAGUUAUGCUCUAUUGUUUAUUUCGUUCUGUCGCAAACGUGGUGCGUUCUGUUCUUCUUCUAUAUGUGCCGGUGUUGAAGGGAAGAAAUGCAGGAAUAAACAAACAUGAAGGAGAGUGAAGUUCACUCAGAACUGGUUAAAUACUGCACAGAAGGACUCAGACCAUGAAAGCAAAAAUGAGGAGCUCGUUCCAAAAAGAGAACUGUGUUUUAUGGACAAACAACACUAUAAUUAUCAUG